UUUUUUUUUUUUUUCUGCCGCCCCCCUCCCCCCCCUACCCCCCCUUCCCUUCCACCCAUCGGCUGAAAAAAUUUCAAUAAAUAACAAUAAAAAAUGGUGAAAAAAAAUAAAGUAAAAAAAAUAUUCCAAAUAGAAAAAGAGAAUAUAAAAUAUUAUAAUAUUAAACGGGUGAACAAAAAAAAAUUCAACUAAAUAAUAUAAAAUUGUGAAAAAUAAGUAGAACAAAAAAAAAAAAAAAAUCAAUUCAAAUAGAAAGGGAUUAUUUUUCAUUCGUGCAUUUUUUUAAUUAAUUGUAUUUUUUUUUUGUUUUUUUUCAAAAUUAAAUUAUCACCACACGAUUAUAGUAAAAAUAAAUUUUAGGUAAAAAAUAAAUAUUUUAACUAAAUUUCCAAAAAUUCCUCAAUAAAUAAGGACCAAAAAUCUAAGAUAAGAAUACACAAUAUUUUUAAAAAAAUCUUCCAAACUAAUCUAUAAUAUAAAAUACCACUUCAUUUUGAUCUCGAAUCUCAUCUCAUCCCGAUCUCCCGCUAUUUAAAGAUAUAAGUGCAAAUCAAAAUAGUCACAACACAAAAAUGAUUGAAUUACAUUUGUCUUAAAAAAAAUUAUCAGUCUUAAUCAUAAAAAUUAAUACUGAAAUACUUAAAACGAAAUUAAUAAAAUAUAUGGGCUCAUCGACGUGGAAGUUCCCAAACUUGAUAAUUUUUGUUUUAUUAAGGCCCUCUUGAUUUUUUCUUAUGUUGAAUAAUACAAUUGCGGACAAUUAGCAACAAAAAGAAAAGUCAUGCCCCAGUCCCCCUCAAAUCAUGACGGAAGGAGAACAUGAUCAAUCAACAAAUUAGUCCAAGCAAGGCCUGACAACAAACUACUUAUUCCCACUCAAUCCAAACUCCUCUUUUGAAAAUUUUCCAAACCAUUCCGUAAAAUAAUGAAAUGGUCCUUAGAAGAUGCUGAUACUAAGUCACUUUUGCCCUCAAAGUUUUUAAUUUUAUCAAAUUAUGCUUAAGGUUUUUGAAAGAAAAUUUUUAAGGUACGAAUUUAAAUUUUUCCUCAACGAAUCCCACAACAGAAAAAAACAAAAGCGUCGAUCCAAAUGCAACCUAAAUAGAAACCUCAAAAGUGAAGUAACUUGGAAACUUCACAGAAUUUCACAAGUGGUGCUACUUUGAACCAAAAAUUGGGCAAUAUCCAAUAUCUCACGUGUUUGGGUUCCAUACACGUGGGGACCGUACUAAUCUAAAGAUAAUCAAUGCAUUUGGGUGCCGUAUUAUCGGUGAAAGUAUCUUUCAUUUCACAAAAUACCCAUCCACUUGAGGCUCAACAAAUUGUAAAUUAUCUUCAGAUUGUCAUAAUUUUAAGAUAUUCUCAUAAUCGUAUUUUGAAGCUAUUAAUCUUUGAUAGAAAGUAAGAGAUAAAAAAAGGCUUCAGACAGGAUUUAGCCUUUUAUAAUUCCCAUAAAUUGGAUAUUCUAGAAAUUUAUCCAAAUUUAAAACUCAUUUUGGAUGUUUUUUAAACAUGUUUAGCUCAGUCCAAUGCAAGUUUUAUUCUGCUUCUUCUCACCGAGAGAAGAUAGCCAACACCGGCAUGUUUCCCAUGCCUGAGAAGAAACUGAAAGUAAAAGUCUAAAGGAUAACUUGACCUGAAGUGUAUCAAGUUACAGUAUGGAUUUCCAUCAUUCUCAACAUUUAGAUAUAGUUUCAGUCUCCUUUUUUUCAAGUUUGAUGGAUCUACUUCAUCAGGAAAAUAUAAGAGACAAACCUAGACUAGUUAGACCUAAUAUUACAAUGAAUGCAAUUUUGAUAGGAGAGAGGAAUAGCUGCAAAUGAACCUAUUUAGGUUUCACGGGAGUAAGACAUGAUGGUGUACUGAAUUCCAUCACCCAAACAGCCAACAGUGAGCUUAAAAUCACAUCUUAGCAUGAAUCUUACUAUAAAUCGAGGUAGCUGGAGGAGAACUCAUGUCGACAAUCUUAAGUAAUUCUGCAGCUUGAUGUGAAAACUUGAGUAGCUAAUUUUUUUUUAAUAUCGUAAAGUUUAUCAACCAAGAUUGGCUUGUUCAAACUUGGUUUUAAAAAUUAGUGAGCUUUAAAAUUAUUCAGUUCGAUCUUUUAGAGAAAUUGUAAGCAUUCAAAUCUAACUAGAAUAAACCUUAAAACCAAUCUUGAUUCUUGGAGGUAUGGUAGCAGGUAUUUUCACACGUUUCUUUUCUUUUCGUUUUUGGGCAAUUUCCAAGCAAUUUUUUUUUUAAAUAAAAUCUAGAGUAUGAUUGAGAAUAAAUUUCUUUGGACUGCUAAAAGGAUUUCGCACGACAACUUAUUAUAAGAUGGUAUAUUGUGCAAUGUUUGGGAGAUUUCCUAGUUGUGCAAUGAUAGAAUGUAUGUCUAUUGCUGGAUGGAUGGAUCUUGGUUGAUAUGCCAAACCCAAUCUUAAUUCAUUAUUUGAAAAUGGAGUAUAGAUAAUAGCUGAAAACCUUAUAAGCUGCAAAAUAUGUGAGAUUACAGAAG
rnacentral:lncRNA from 1 species